CUCUGCAGUGACGCAUCCAUGGCUGCCAGCGGGGAAGAAAAAUGAACGAUUAGAACACUGUCCUGCACUGGGCGGGGAACAGUCUAUGUCAGGGGUGUUCAAAGUCAGUCCUGGAGGGCCGGCCUCCUGCUGGUUUUCCAGAUCUUCUGCUGAUUGCCUGGUUCAGGUUUUUAGCCAAUAAGGAGCUUCAAUGGCAGGUUGGUUGGAAAACAUGUAGGACACCGGCCCUUGAGGCCUGACUUUGGACACCCCUGGUCUAUGUGCUGCUCAGUGUGGUACAGGGGGUGGGAGGGGCAAACCAUCAAUCUGUGCAGCCCUUAGCCCAGGACACAACAGCAUACAGCACUGCUCAGGCCACCACUGAACCAAAAGAGUCCAGAAAGGUCCCUGCACGCACCAAAAGACCUGAUAUCACAGCAUCAAGACGUCUACUGGGUACAUCACAAAUAGUGCCGGUGUCCAUGGAUGCUCCACUAGAAGAUGAAUGUUCCAGAUUUGAAUAGAUCUCGCCUCAUCAGCGGCUCCGGCUCAGAGAGCUGCCUGUCGAGCAUCAGGAACCCGACGGAGCGUCUGAGGACCGCGCAGCCCUCCACACCCAGACAUCAACCGCCGCAUCUCUCAGGUAAAGAGCAAAAACGCCACGUGGGCUCAGAUCUGUCCGGACCUCUGCUGAAGGCAUCGCUGCGCCCAGGUCCUUCCAUCAGAGUAGGUCUAAGAUUGAAUAUGUUCCCCCACAUUUAUGGUUAUUGCACACUUUGCAACCUGACUGCUGCUCAGCGCAGCUCAGGUCUGCUUCCAAAAUGCAAAAGUUGUUUACAAAAACUCAUUCAUCUGUUUGCAAAGUAUUCGUUUUGCUAACAAAUUCACUAUAAUGCUAAAACCCCACACGGGUUAGCAGACAGGUACAGAUGUGAGCGGAAUGAGGCCUUCAGGGGAGCGGAACAAGAACUGAAACUGCUGCAGUGAUCUGAAAAGGAAGUUUGAGGUUAGCGUCAACUGAAAAAAGCCCCUAAGAGGCAGCGACUGCAGCCACAACCAUGAGCUGGGUUUUUUUCUUUCUUUCUUGGGGGAGGUGCUGCUGGAAAAAGUAGCUAAUGAGAUUAAAGCGCGUGUUCACAUUCAUGAUUCUUACAGAGCACGCUUUAUUGCAACCAGUUCUGCUCCUCUACUUCAUUUAUACCAUAUUCUGAUGUGGUUCUGCUGUGAAUUGGAGAACUUUGCGCUGCCUUUGAUCUCACAUGACAAACACGUAAAUGAGGAAACAUCCUGUCUGUCAGAUACUCAAAGACCCACUCCAGUGAAAAUGAGGUUUUUGCUGUUUUUAAUGUGUUAUUAUGACAUUUUUUCUGAACACAGUUAAACGGUUUGUACCAUGACAUUUUUUUGGGGGCAUUUUAGUUUUUUUAGGCCACGUGCUGAUGUCACAAAUUGAGAACCGCCCCUUUAGGGAUGGGUCUGCUCCGCCCCAAGGGUAACACAAACACACACUUUCUCUUUGGCGCUAACAGUGAUCAGCAAAACACUUUUAUUUUAUUUGCACAAUAUCAUAUAUCUUCCAAUAUUGUCUGUUUUUUUUUACACUGAUGUCCAAAAAUUGCCGAGUCUAACUGGUGUUUUGUACAUUGGCUCCUUUAAGACCCCCUUCCUACCCCACUUUCUCAACCAACAGUCGUGCAGAUGUCAGCUGUUUAAAUGUUCAGAAGGUUUUUUUUAGGGUGAUUUGGAGUUUAGCUUUUAAUUUAGCAAAAUGAUAACUGUUUUAGACUAAUUUAGAUAUUUUUCCAGUUUUUUAGGCUAAUUGGGAGUUUGUCUAAAAUUUUAGCAAAAUGCUAAAAUAUUAGCAAAAUUAUACAUUUCUCCAGGGAGGUUUUUUAGGAUAAUUUGGAGUUUAGCUACUAUUUUUAGCAUUAUGCUAGCUGUUUUAGCUAAUUUAGACAGUUUUCCUGUUUUUAGAAUAAUUUGGAGUUUAUCUAACAUUUUUAGCAUUAUGCUAACUGUUUUAGUUAAUUUAGCUAAUUUAUGACAGUUCUCCAGUUUUUUAGGCUAAUUUAGAGUUUAGCUUAUAUUGUAACAAUAUGCUAGCUGUUCUAGGAAAAUGAAACCUUUUUCAAGUUUUUUUUUUUUUUGGAUGGGUAAUUUGGCAUUAGGCUAAUAUUUUAGCAUGCUUUAGGCUUCAGUAUUUUCAGCUAUCAGCUUCAGCGUUUUUAAGUAUCAAUUUCAGCAUUUUCAGCUAUCAGCACUAGCAUCUUCAGCAGCCAAAUUCAGCUUACAGCAUUCACACUAGCAUUAUUUGAGGUAAUACUAUAUAUCAAGUUUGAUUUGCAUUUAAACUUCAUGCGGUGGCAUAUGCCAAAGAACAUUCUGGUGAGGGAUCUGCCUGACAUCUUGGGAUGGAUCCUAAAGUAUCUGAGAAUGACACAGGCAGACAGGUCAUAUUGAGAAAACGGCUUCAGAAAAAGGAACAACAAGCAAACGAUUAUCUGGUGGAGGUGCAAAGAAAUCCCAAAUUAGAAGAACUGGUGUGAACAGCUUAGUUGGUAAGGUGCAAAUGCCUCCAGGAAAAUGAUCCGCAUGAAAGCGAGAGAUUGUUGACACUUCAAAGGGAAAAGAAAUGUUCACAGUGUUGAUCAGAACAAUGUUCUUAUCAUUUCAACAAAUCCUGAAGUGUUCAUCUGCUGUCACUGCAUUUUGUGACUGAAUUUCACCACAAAAUGAACCCAUUAGCCAUCACCAUUCUGUCUUUAAGAGAAUAAAUGCCAGUCUCUCCAAUAGACGCCAGGAUGGAGAUAUAUGGUAUUUGGGAUUUGUGAUGGGUGGAACAAAGUCUCCAUUCUGGUGCAUCCACUUGUAAACAAAUAGAUCCAUGAAUGUCUUUGUUUUCCUUAUCUGCUCGGAAUCUGGAUCAAAACUGUCCGGCUGGAUAGCUCUGAUAAUGCUCACCAUUUUUGUUGCACCUGUAAUGUUAGGUUGGGGGUGAAGCUAAUGGGAAGAGAAUGAAAACAGACGGAUAACGGGAAGUAAGGCCAGACUUACUCAGUUCCCCCCACAACUUAGAGAUGAAUUUCUAGUGAACUCCUGCCGCUCUGCAGAAACGAUGUUCUAGAAAACAACAAAGGUUUUUAGAUGUAGUCUAAAACAGCAUAAUCAUACCUAAAAGAUGAGUGGAAACCAUUUGAAAAUAG
ensembl:lncRNA